rnacentral:rRNA from 1 species
CUCGGCAGCAUUACAUGCAGUCGACGAUGAUUCUAGCUUGCUAGAUAUGAUUAGUGGCGGACGGGUGAGUAACAUUUAGGAAUCUGCCUAGUAGUGGGGGAUAGCUCGGGGAAACUCGAAUUAAUACCGCAUACGACCUACGGGUGAAAGGGGGCGCAAGCUCUUGCUAUUAGAUGAGCCUAAAUCAGAUUAGCUAGUUGGUGGGGUAAAGGCCCACCAAGGCGACGAUCUGUAACUGGUCUGAGAGGAUGAUCAGUCACACCGGAACUGAGACACGGUCCGGACUCCUACGGGGAGGCAGGCAGUGGGGAAUAUUGGACAAUGGGGGCAACCCUGAUCCAGCCAUGCCGCGUGUGUGAAGAAGGCCUUUUGGUUGUAAAGCACUUUAAGCAGGGAGGAGAGGCUAAUGGUUAAUACCCAUUAGAUUAGACGUUACCUGCAGAAUAAGCACCGGCUAACUCUGUGCCAGCAGCCGCGGUAAUACAGAGGGUGCGAGCGUUAAUCGGAAUUACUGGGCGUAAAGCGAGUGUAGGUGGCUCAUUAAGUCACAUGUGAAAUCCCCGGGCUUAACCUGGGAACUGCAUGUGAUACUGGUGGUGCUAGAAUAUGUGAGAGGGAAGUAGAAUUCCAGGUGUAGCGGUGAAAUGCGUAGAGAUCUGGAGGAAUACCGAUGGCGAAGGCAGCUUCCUGGCAAAUAUUGACACUGAGAUUCGAAAGCGUGGGUAGCAAACAGGAUUAGAUACCCUGGUAGUCCACGCCGUAAACGAUGUCUACUAGCCGUUGGGGUCCUUGAGACUUUAGUGGCGCAGUUAACGCGAUAAGUAGACCGCCUGGGGAGUACGGCCGCAAGGUUAAAACUCAAAUGAAUUGACGGGGGCCCGCACAAGCGGUGGAGCAUGUGGUUUAAUUCGAUGCAACGCGAAGAACCUUACCUGGUCUUGACAUAGUGAGAAUCCUGCAGAGAUGCGGGAGUGCCUUCGGGAAUUCACAUACAGGUGCUGCAUGGCUGUCGUCAGCUCGUGUCGUGAGAUGUUGGGUUAAGUCCCGCAACGAGCGCAACCCUUUUUCGUAUUUGCCAGCGGCUUAAGCCCAGAACUUUAACGAUACUGCCAGUGACAAACUGGCAGGAAGGCGGGGACGACGGCAACUCAUCAUGGCCCUUACGACCAGGGCUACACACGUGCUACAAUGGUAGGUACAGAGGGUUGCUACACAGCGAUGUGAUGCUAAUCUCAAAAAGCCUAUCGUAGUCCGGAUUGGAGUCUGCAACUCGACUCCAUGAAGUCGGAAUCGCUAGUAAUCGCAGAUCAGAAUGCUGCGGUGAAUACGUUCCCGGGCCUUGUACACACCGCCCGUCACACCAUGGGAGUCUAUUGCACCAGAAGUAGGUAGCCUAACGCAAGAGGGCGCUACCACGUGUCA